UACGGAGGGGCUAGCGUUGCUCGGAAUUACUGGGCGUAAAGCGCACGUAGGCGGCUUGUUAAGUCAGGGGUGAAAUCCUGGAGCUCAACUCCAGAACUGCCUUUGAUACUGGCGAGCUUGAGUUCGGGAGAGGUGAGUGGAACUGCGAGUGUAGAGGUGAAAUUCGUAGAUAUUCGCAAGAACACCAGUGGCGAAGGCGGCUCACUGGCCCGAUACUGACGCUGAGGUGCGAAAGCGUGGGGAGCAACAGG
rnacentral:rRNA from 1 species